rnacentral:rRNA from 1 species
UGCGUAGGCGGAAGAUUAAGUCAGUGAUGAAAUCCUGCAGCUCAACUGUAGAACUGUCAUUGAUACUGAUUUUCUUGAAUACAGUUGAGGUAGGCGGAAUAUGUAAUGUAGCGGUGAAAUGCUUAGAUAUUACAUAGAACACCAAUUGCGAAGGCAGCUUACGAAACUGUGAUUGACGCUGAGGCACGAAAGCGUGGGGAGCGAACAGGAUUAGAUACCCUGGUAGUCC